GAAUCCAAAGGGCAGAAAACUGUGCUUGAAGAUGACAGUCUCCCCAGCCACCACAGUGCGGAAAGCAUUAACGUCCUAUGGUGCACAGUGUGCUUUUGAGAAGGGCCUUAGAAGUCGCUGAUUAAACGCCCAACAGUCUUCAGCUGAAAACGUUUCGGGAGCCAAUAUUUGGAAAGACCAAUAAAUAGCCUUGUAGUG